rnacentral:misc_RNA from 1 species
GGUAAUAAUCUCUUUAGUUCCUUUCGUGUUGAUUUUUGGUCAUGUUAUAUUUGAUUAAGAAUGGUAUGUUUUAGGUGUGAAGCUAGUUUUGCUCCUUUGACGUUGUUGUGCUUCGGUUCCGCUAAAUCAAGCAAAGAGAAGCCAUACGUUCUUUGAACUUUUAGGAUUUAUUAUUUAUUAAUAUUCUUCUAUCAUCAGGGAGGUUCAUAAAUUUAUCAUGAUGAUAAAAGUUAGUUGGG